rnacentral:rRNA from 1 species
UACGGAAGGUCCGGGCGUUAUCCGGAUUUAUUGGGUUUAAAGGGAGCGUAGGCCGGAGAUUAAGCGUGUUGUGAAAUGUAGACGCUCAACGUCUGCACUGCAGCGCGAACUGGUUUCCUUGAGUACGCACAAAGUGGGCGGAAUUCGUGGUGUAGCGGUGAAAUGCUUAGAUAUCACGAAGAACUCCGAUUGCGAAGGCAGCUCACUGGAGCGCAACUGACGCUGAAGCUCGAAAGUGCGGGUAUCGAACAGGAUUAGAUACCCUGGUAGUCCGCACGGUAAACGAUGGAUGCCCGCUGUUGGUCUGAACAGGUCAGCGGCCAAGCGAAAGCAUUAAGCAUCCCACCUGGGGAGUACGCCGGCAACGGUGAAACUCAAAGGAAUUGACGGGGGCCCGCACAAGCGGAGGAACAUGUGGUUUAAUUCGAUGAUACGCGAGGAACCUUACCCGGGCUUGAACUGCAGCGGACGGAUACAGAGAUGUUGACUCCCUUCGGGGCCGCUGUGGAGGUGCUGCAUGGUUGUCGUCAGCUCGUGCCGUGAGGUGUCGGCUUAAGUGCCAUAACGAGCGCAACCCUUGUUCGUAGUUGCCAUCGGGUGAUGCCGGGCACUCUGCGAAGACUGCCUCCGUAAGGAGUGAGGAAGGUGGGGAUGACGUCAAAUCAGCACGGCCCUUACGUCCGGGGCUACACACGUGUUACAAUGGCAGGUACAGAGAGACGGUCCCUUGCAAAAUGGAUCAAAUCCUUAAAGCCUGUCUCAGUUCGGACUGGGGUCUGCAACCCGACCCCACGAAGCUGGAUUCGCUAGUAAUCGCGCAUCAGCCAUGGCGCGGUGAAUACGUUCCCGGGCCUUGUACACACCGCCCGUCAAGCCAUGAAAGCCGGGGGCGCCUAAAGUCCGUGACCGCGAGGGUCGGCCUAGGGUGAAACCGGUGAUUGGGGCUAAGUCGUAACAAGGUAGCCGUACCGGAAGGUGCGGCUG